GUCAAAGGGAAAGAAAUGAGCAUUCCGCAGUGGCGCAGGUGUUUAAUAGGUGAUGCGUCUUCGCUGAAGGCGCGUCGAACUGCCUGAGCUGUCUUGACCGGAUGAGGAUGCGGUGAACAUAUCGCCAACGACAUGUGCCGCUUUCCAAGAACGCAAGCUGCUUAUCGGACCGGUGCACCCAACCUACCGGCGAAACCCACGACUCUCCUUUCCAGCUGCGGAAGCAAAGUUCCUUGUGCUGCACAAUUUGAACACCACGUACCGCAGCCACGUACAAGGGCAAAGACGGAUCGGUGCGCAAACAGCUGCACGUCGGCCUACCCUGCAUUGGCGUGUCGAGCCGCGUAGAUCGCGUGGCCUGGUCCAUAACGGUAGAAAACACCUCAAUCACUGCGACAAUUUCAAACCUGAUUUCACACACUUCUUGCUGGGUUUUCACAUUUGUCACAUGCAUUGAUUCAUUGUAUCACAUUAUUAGCAGGGCCUAGUACCACUUAAGUGGGGAUACCUGUCCUUUCACAAUCCUUUCUGGUGAACCUCCCUGCCUUCUCCCUUUCUGUUUGCUUCGUUCUUUGAAUUUGACCGAAGACAGUGCUGCUUUUUGUACGUCAGCACCCGACUUUCACAGGGCAUUCUUAUUGCCAAUACAGCAAUACUACGCCGAAUGCUGCACGCUUGAUCGAGUAACCACUCCAGCAGCUGGGCUAGGUUCUACAGCAUAGUUCGAACCGGGCAGCCAAAUUGAACUGUAAUGAAAUCGAAGUCGUCAACCUCAUUGACUCUGUGUACCGGUACCGACCUAGGUGUAGCCACCUGAUUACAUUCUUUUUUCUCAGUACCUCAAUAAUGUCCUCACUCACUCACUCACUCACUCACUCACUCACUCACUCACUCACUCACUCACUCACUCACUCACUCACUCACUCACUCACUCACUCACUGCUCUUCCUCUUUGCUCUCAUUCCCGCCCUUGUGAGGUAGCGUCAGAGGUUCGUCUUGUGAGUUGCCUGUGAGAUGAGACCUUCAGGGACAACUCUUCGCAGUAACGUAUUAGUGCGAAAAGAAAGUAGGACGAUAAAGCGAAGAAAUAAGUGAAGCCGGGAAUAUAAAAAUACGCCUUUCUUUAUAUGAUGACAAGCGUAAACAAGACACGUACACAAAAAGUGACAACCUUUCAGAUGUGCCCCCUUAAUACCAAAAUAUUAUUGCUAGGGGAUGGUUGGCUAAGUAGCUGCGGUGCUGGCCAAGCCAUUCCACGAUGACUCUGAGUAACAUUCCAAGUUGUACUGCAGGGAUUGAGUGUUCAGUUCUCCACAUUAUUCAGUACGUUCAUGCGAGUUAAAAAAGUUGUCUAAAAUGAAUUAAAAGUACAGUAACAUGAAAUGAAAUGCUUAAGUCAUCCGCUAAGAUCGCAUCAUUUUCUCAAUUUAAGUUACAGCUUAUUGAAAACGUGCAACACGACGAAUUUGUACUAUCGGUAGUGUCACAUACAGGUAACUAUGCACAUGGGAAAUUCAAAAUAAUACAGUCAUCAAUUGUUUUCAACGUAAUCUAGUACACAGAGACUGGGCUUUCUGAAAAAAAAAAAGGUGCCCACUAAUUAUAUAUUUGAGUUUUCUGGCCACAUAUUACAUUUAUGGGUCGAAGCUAUGUUUGAAUACUGUAAAUGCUGAACCUAAGGACAGUUAGCCUAAAAAAAGAAAAGCAGAAGGCCGAGAGUGGAACAUAAGAAUCCGGCCUGUACACAGUGCAUAAAAUUACAACACGAAACAAAAAAAAAAAAACUUCAACAAAACAGUAUGGGCAUCGUGAUAUAUCAUACAUUGCUCUUGCAGAACACUUUCACACACUUUCCUUGCUGCAUACAUGUUGGUCUCAAAAGAAAAUAGAUCACACAAGCACACAUUCUACAUGCAUAGUUAGCCGAUCACUAAUGUCACAAAGGGAUAUGUUACACAAACUGAAGUCUUUACAAAAUGCACUCGAUUCUAACGUGCUCUGGGGGAAGCAGAGGGCACGUAAAAUGCAUAUCUUUUCCCACAUAAAAGUAGCAUUAUCCUCAGGUACACAAUUCAUAAGGACAAAGGCCUUUUAUCACUUGGCUUUAUCGAAGCUAGUUUACAUAGUAAAUGCUGUUGGGGGAAAAAUAAAUGCGUAUACAAAAGC